CUACGGGAGGCAGCAGUAAGGAAUAUUGGACAAUGGGCGCAAGCCUGAUCCAGCCAUGCCGCGUGCAGGAUGAAGGACCUAUGGUUCGUAAACUGCUUUUAUACGGGACAAAACCCCCGGUCGUGCAUCGGGGUUGAUGGUACUGUAAGAAUAAGGGUCGGCUAACUUCGUGCCAGCAGCCGCGGUAAUACGAAGGACCCAAGCGUUAUCCGGAUUUAUUGGGUUUAAAGGGUGCGUAGGCGGAUUAGUAAGUCAGUGGUGAAAGCUCCGAGCUUAACUUGGAAACUGCCAUUGAUACUGCCAGUCUUGAAUGUCGUAGAGGUAAGCGGAAUGUUGCAUGUAGCGGUGAAAUGCUUAGAUAUGACACAGAACACCGAUUGCGAAGGCAGCUCACUAAACUGUAACUGACGCUGAGGCACGAAAGCGUGGGGAUCAAACAGGAUUAGAAACCCGGGUAGUCC
rnacentral:rRNA from 1 species